GGACGCCGGGCGGACUUCGCUGGGCGCCUCCAGGCUCUCCCGGAUCUCCGGCGGAGCGGGAGGCGUGUGAGGCCGAGACGGCCCCCCAGGAACCCCUCAUGAUCUAUGUAGCCGGGGCGCGGAUUAUUGUCGGAGCAACGCCUCCGCUUUCUUGGUCACCCCCCGGCCCAGGCUGGAAUGGGAGGACCCAGCGCGCCACGUGACCGACUACUGCGCGUCACGUGACGAGGAAGCAGCGCAGCGGCGCCCGGGGAAGGAGUAGCUCUGGCGGAGCUUCUAGUAACCGUGGCGUCCGGCUCUGAGGCGCGCAGGAUUGGAGCUGCUCCAAUUUUCCCCCUCAGAUACGCUAGUUGCGGGUGGUGUCCCGUGAUGGGGGGCAUGAGUCCUGUCUCACCAUGUCUGGCUGGCGGCGACCCAGGUGCCACGUGAUGGUCAUUUGAAGACAGGCCUGUCGGAUGUCAGAUGCCUGGGAUGUGGACAAGAUGCCUGGAGAUUCAGAAACCAUUUGUGAUCAUGAAGACAAAAGCCACCAAGGACAUCAGCCUUGGACAGCCGAACACCUACACCUUAUAUGAGAAAAAUAAGCCACUUGUCUACUGGAGCCAUUCUUACCUGAGGCUGACUGCCACUUCAGCUAUGGUUUAAGGAUUCAAAACACUUUUUUAAGUAGGCUCCACGCAUAGAGCCUGGCUGUGGGCUUUGAACUCACGACCCUGAGAUCAAGAUCUGAGCUGAGAUCAAGAGUCCAAUGCUCAACCCACUGAGCCACCCAGGCACCCUUCAAUUUUUUUUUUUUUUUUUUUAGAGUCGAAAAAGAAGUACACAAUUUCAACAUAGAGCAGGAGGGAGCAAAUACCAAAAAUUAAUCCCGUCGGACACACAGAAACAAGAACACAUAGAAAACAUUUUAAAAUAAAACCAGUGAGACCAGCAAAUCUCAAACAAAGCUUUGCUUAUUUAUUUUAGACAAACAAGAGAGCAAAACUAAACUGUAUUAAGAAGGAAUAAAAGAAGCACUACUCAUACAGCAUAGGUUUAAAAAAAUAAAUUGUAAGAAUUGUGCGGCAAGGACAGAAAAGAGGGAGCGUCCUCGGAGUCCCUAAUUUACAGCACCCACUGUUUGAACCUCAUCCGUACCUGACGGUACUCGACUUAAGGAAUUGGGAUUAUUGCUUUUAUGCCAGCAAACCCAAAGAGUGGAAAAGGAGGCCCACCCGAUCUGCAGCCCAGGAGCCGCUGGGGUCUGACCACAGCGGGUUACCUGGCCCAGGUGGGCAGAGAAGCACGCUGACCGGUGCACGUGAAGAUACACACGGUGACAAAGCGGCAGAGCUGAGCCCGGGAGUCUAAGGAGACGGGAAACCUGGGUGACACGAAAGACAAGUGAGGCUUCGAGCGCGGGACACGAGAGACCUCGGUGAAAGGUACCUGGAGACACAGAGAAGAGCCGUCUGUGCUCAUGGCCCCUGGAGUCCACGGCUCCCGCAUGGCGUGUACUCAGAUGUUUACGCCCCCGAGAGGAACGUGUCUGGUUCCAGAAGCAGCCCCGAGCCCGCACCUCUGGGUCCCCCUCACCGGCUGACGAGUCCCCACAGCCCGAGGGCGUCCGGCCACAGAGAGAAGAGCCCGCCGUCAGCCAGGCCAGGCCGUCAGGAGGGCCGAGGGAGCGGAGCGGUGGGGUCAGGCAAGCUGUGGCCCUCAGGAGAAUGUCGUCCACGUGGCCCCACUCCCGGUGCUCACCGCCCGAGGACCCCCCCCCCCCCCCCCGGACACACCAGGGUGAGCCGCGUCAGAGGGCAGGGAGGUCAGGGUCAGAUUCCGGGUCGGUGGGCCUGCUCAGGCCCUCGAAGGAGAAGACCGACUCAGGUGCGAGGCCGACCAGGGAGAGGCCUUCGUGGAGGCCAGGGUCAGCCAGCGACCCUUGGGACUUCCCUCUUUGCCCGCGGCUCUCCAUACCAGACCAGAAAUCCCCUGUGGGGAGACAAGACUCUCCCGGGCCAGGCCGUUGAUGUCCGUGGUGUGGCGCAAGGGAAUCAGGAGCUGACUGGGGAAGAGAGAAGCGGGGCCGUUAGCAGGGACCCCAGGACCCCCCGCGGGGAGAGGGAAUUCAAGGGCCGGGGAUAGAGAAGAAGGGACAGGACGGGCCUCCCUGAAAAUCACAGACUCCCCGGGGAUUGGGUCCAGUCAGGCCAAGAUCGGGGAAAAGCGAGGUGCGGGGCCGUCUUCCCGAGGCCUCCCGAGGUCAGGGGUUUUAGAAGUCCACCCGUGUGCACGGUCUCAUGUAAUUUUUAAGAAUUCCGGGAACCCUCGUCGGAUGCCACGGAAGUUCACGUUUCCCACGCACAGAACUAUACCUCUUGCCUCUGUCUCUGCUCCAGGGAAGUGUCUCUGCUCCUGCCAGAAGCCAAUCUCUCCUUCUCUACGGCCUCCCCUGGGAUGUCACUCCUGCAGUCUGUCCCUCUCCCUGUCUCUUCUUCACCCUCCCCUGCCCUUCUCCUCCCUUUCCUUCCCCAGUCCUUCCCCCUCCUUUUCUCCCCCACUUCCCCCCUCCC